GGUUGCAGGCCAGCCUAAACUAUGUGUCAUAAAAAUUUUAACAAAUGCCCAGUAUAAUGUCCUAGAUUCUUGUCUCUUCUUUGAGCCCAAAGAGACAGAAUUUUAUCUUAGAUGGGUUAAAGUUAACUACCUCAUGUUGCAAAAGAGUUUAAUUGCUGAGAGUCCCUAUUAAAUGGGAAAGAUUGUCUCUAUGAGGAUGGAGGAGGAGAUGAGCUUGUCAAUGCUUCUAAACAUAGAAGCUUUGCUUAAAGGCAAGAAUCACUUUCAUGGCUCCUACUGCAGAUACCCUGAGGCCAGCAUCUUUUCUCAUAUUCCCCAUCAUCAUGUCCUGUACCACCCAACGGUAAUGGAGCCUGCUGACCACAGACUGGAUCCUCUGAAAUGAUAUAUCCAAAUAACUCUCUCUUAAUUUGAGGCUUUCCUCCUCAGGCAUUUUGACACAGUAACAAAAAGCUAAUACAAUUGUAUCUAUGUGCACACACACACACACACACACACACACACACAGUAUAUAAAUUAGUCAACUUGCUAGUAGGCCAAGAUGGGAGGCCUUGAAGGCAGAUGGUGAUUUCUGAUAAUUAAAUCAAUGAGAACCAGAUACAAAUCAGAGAUUUGGUGGAUCAGGUUUGAGCAAAGGGAACUUUGAAGAAGUCUGUAGUCACACAGCAAAGAAGCAGACUGAAAAAAUUCCUUUUAUUGGAAGGCAAGGAUUCUGGUCUCCCUUUUGAGAUAGGUUUUAGCCAUUUUUUUCUACUCACCCGAUUUCCAUUAUGAAAUAUAUCACCUUACCAAGGAGAUGCACUGGAGCAGAUUAUAACAUGAUUGCAUCUCCUAUCCUCCAGUUUCAAAUAAAAAAAAAUCAUAU